rnacentral:rRNA from 1 species
AACGCGAAGAACCUUACCAAAUCUUGACAUCCCGAUGACAGGCUGUGUAAUGCAGCUUCUCUUCGGAGCAUCGGUGACAGGUGGUGCAUGGUUGUCGUCAGCUCGUGUCGUGAGAUGUUGGGUUAAGUCCCGCAACGAGCGCAACCCUUGUCUUUAGUAGCCAGCAUUUAGGAUGGGCACUCUAGAGAGACUGCCAGGGAUAACCUGGAGGAAGGUGGGGAUGACGUCAAAUCAUCAUGCCCCUUAUGAUUUGGGCUACACACGUGCUACAAUGGCGUAAACAAAGAGAAGCAAAGGAGUGAUCCGGAGCAAAUCUCAAAAAUAACGUCUCAGUUCGGAUUGUAGUCUGCAACUCGACUACAUGAAGCUGGAAUCGCUAGUAAUCGCGAAUCAGAAUGUCGCGGUGAAUACGUUCUCGGGUCUUGUACACACGC